UUUCAGUAUAUCUGCAGCAAAUGAAAACCGAGAGAAAUGGGAAGUGAGGAACUGCAUGAAGGGAAAUUACUCAGAGCAGGUUUUUCAAAGCUGUCUUGUUUCAUGUAGAUAAGUACCUUUAAAAUGUUGCUCUAUUGGGUAAAGGAAGAGAUAGCCAUAAAGUUAUGUGUAUCUCGUCAUAGCUGUUGCUAUGUGGAUAAGUGAAGGAUCCUGUUCAGUGAAGUUUAGUAACAGUCACAUCAUAAAUUAAUGGGAGUGGCUUUUAAAAGUUAAUGAAAAACCUGUCAUUGACUUUUUACCAUAAAAACUUUAUUGCACACAGUAAUUAAGUGGAACUACUAGGAAGAGAAAAGAUUCAUAGAUAAAUUACUUUAGACCAAGUAGCACACUCCUGUAACUCCUCUGAACUACGUCUGCACAUGUUAUUCCCAUGGCAAAUUUGGUUUUCUUCUUCCCAUUACUUCCAUGGUCUCAGUGCUGUUUCUGUUUUACUCUGUGCCAGCGUUACACCAAUUUCAUCUCAGAUUCAGAGCUAAUGGAUUACGCAGUUGGCUCUGAAACAGGGCUUCAGAACUGGGCAGGAAUACAGGAAAGCACUCAGGGCGUUGGCUGGAAAUGACCAGGAAUGUGCUUCCACAGAGGAGAAGGAACCUGAGAUGAAAUGAGCGCAGAUACCACAGUCUGACACUCUAUCCUCAUGGUGAGGAGGUGUUCUGCAGCAGGAAACUCUUCUCGUGUUGACUUGGCUGUGCAAGUUAUCUGUGUAUACCCACAGCUGAAUGUCUCGGUGCCUCUCAUCAUUUGCGGCUGAAUCGCCUCAUGUUUCCUUUGCCUUGUGAGGCCUCAAGGUAAUUCAGGUGAAUGCAGGAGCAUAUUAAUACCGGAGUGAACAGAAUGUCUUAUGAACCUCAGCAAACUGAAAUCCCAACCUGUUUUAUUUAAACUAGUCUGAAACACAUCUUUUUUUUUCUUUUAAAUCCUGUGAACACUGCUGAAAACCUGCUUGAUGAAGGCCUGCUUACUGGAAUGUAGAUGUCCUUAGUUACUUGAAGAUUUAUCAUCCAAAAUAUUUGUUUUUCAACUUUGUAAAGAUUUUUGUAUUUUGAUUUUGAUAUAAAUGAAGGCUGGUGUAAGUUGAAUGUUAAAGUAGUCUUCUUACGCACAUCACUCCAGCACUAAGCUCAUGAUAAAUGCAGGUUUUCCUCUUUAAACACUUAUGUAAGUCAAGUUUGAGGAUAUUUACAAGUAUAUUGAUGGUGAUUUGAGAGUAUCUAAAAUAAAGUGAAACUUUGGUUAGGAGUUGGGAAGAAG
rnacentral:lncRNA from 1 species